rnacentral:lncRNA from 10 species
UCUGGGGGCAGGGCGGGGUGGCUCACACCUGUAAUACCAACUACUCGGGAGGCAGAGGUGGGAGGAUCACGUGAGCCCAGGAGUUGGAGACCACCCUGGGCAACAGAGCGAGACCCAGACACUACAAAAAAAUAUAAAAAUUAGCUGGGCGAUUGUAGUCCCAAGUACUCGGCAAGCUGAGGCGGGAGGGUUUGAGCCCAAGAGGUCGAGGCUGCAUUGAGCCCAGAUGGCGCCACUGCACACCAGCCUGGGAGACAAAGCAAGACCCUGUCUCAAAAAGAAAAAGAAAAACAAAAACCAGUAUGGGAUGUUCCUGUUAGGCAACUAAGGGUGAAAAAUCAGAGCACGACGCAUAGCUUCUCACAGAUUCUGGUGUGCGUGCCACACCAGAGAAUAAGGAACUCCAUAGCCUGAAAGGGAACUGAAUAAAAAUAAACAUAAAAGAGAAUAAGAAA